rnacentral:rRNA from 1 species
AAUUAUCGAAGUUGAUAGCUUCUAAUCUAUCAAACCUUUUUAACUGGUCAAGUUAUUAAGGGUGCAGGGCGGAUGCCUUGGCACUAGGAGCCGAUGAAGGACGUGAUAAGCUGCGAUAAGCUUCGGGGAGUUGCACGUAAACUUUGAUCCGAAGAUUUCCGAAUGAGGAAACUCACUUAGAGUAAUGUCUAAGUAUCAUUAAGUGAAUACAUAGCUUAAUGAGGGGAACUCAGGGAACUGAAACAUCUAAGUACCUGAAGGAAGAGAAAGAAAUUCGAUUCCGUAAGUAGCGGCGAGCGAACGCGGAUUAGCCCAAACCAAUAAAGUUUUCUUUAUUGGGGUUGCGGACAUAUCAUAACGAAGAGGUAUCGUAAUUGAAGAGGUUUGGAAAGACCCACCACAGAAGGUAAUAGUCCUGUAUGUUAAACGAGAAGACUUCAGAUAUGAUCCAGAGUACCACGGGACACGUGAAACCCUGUGGGAAGCAGGAGGGACCACCCUCCAAGGCUAAAUACUACCUAGUGACCGAUAGCGUAUAGUACCGUGAGGGAAAGGUGAAAAGAACCCCGGGAGGGGAGUGAAAUAGAACCUGAAACCCUGCACUUACAAGCUGUGGAAGCACAUUUCUUGUGUGACCGCGUACUUUUUGUAGAACGGGCCAACGAGUUACGUUAAGUAGCAAGGUUAAGCACUUAAGGUGUGGAGCCGUAGCGAAAGCGAGUUUUAACUGAGCGUUCAGUUACUUGACGUAGACCCGAAACCGGGCGACCUACCCAUGAGCAGGAUGAAGCGAAAGUAAAAUUUCGUGGAGGUCCGAACCCACGAGCGUUGAAAAGCUCGGGGAUGACUUGUGGGUAGCGGUGAAAUUCCAAUCGAGCCCGGAGAUAGCUGGUUCUCCCCGAAAUAGCUUUAGGGCUAGCCUCAAGGUGAGAGAUACGGAGGUAGAGCACUGAAUGUCCUAGGGGGUAUUGCACCUACCGAAGACUAUCAAACUCCGAAUGCCGUCAUCUUAUACUUGGGAGUCAGACUGUGGGUGAUAAGAUUCAUAGUCGAAAGGGCAACAGCCCAGAUCGUCAGCUAAGGUCCCUAAAUGUAAGUUAAGUGGUAAAGGAUGUGGGAUUGCACAGACAACCAGGAUGUUGGCUUAGAAGCAGCCACUCAUUCAAAGAGUGCGUAAUAGCUCACUGGUCGAGUGAUCCUGCGCCGAAGAUUUCCGGGGCUAAAACUUACUACCGAAGCUACGGCAUCAGUAAUGAUGGGUAGGGGAGCUUCCCAUACGGGUUGAAGCAUGACCGUAAGGACAUGUGGACAGUAUGGGAGUGAGAAUGUUGGCAUGAGUAGCGAGAUGUGGGUGAGAAUCCCACAGGCCGUAAACCCAAGGUUUCCAGGGGAAGGUUCGUCCGCCCUGGGUUAGUCGGGACCUAAGCUGAGGCCGAAAGGCGUAGGUGAUGGACAACAGGUUGAUAUUCCUGUACUACCGAUAACCGUUUGAGAGAAGGGAUGACACAGUAGGAUAAGCUAAGCACACUGUUGGUUAUGUGUGCCCAAGCAUUGAGGCAGUCAAAGUAGGCAAAUCCGCUUUGAUAAUGCUGGGAUGUGAUGGGGAGCGAAAUUUAGUAGCGAAGUAGCUGAUUUCACACUGUCAAGAAAAGUCUCUAUCGAGGUUAAAGGUACCCGUACCGCAAACCGACACAGGUGGGUGAGGAGAGUAUCCUAAGGCCAGCGAGAGAACUGUUGUUAAGGAACUCGGCAAAAUGACCCCGUAACUUAGGGAUAAGGGGUGCCACCAUCAGGUGGCCGCAGAGAAUAGGCCCAAGCGACUGUUUACCAAAAACAUAGGUUUCUGCUAAGUCGCAAGACGAUGUAUAGGAGCUGACGCCUGCCCGGUGCUGGAAGGUUAAGGGGAUCUGUUAGAGCAAUCGAAGCAGUGAACUUAAGCCCCAGUAAACGGCGGCCGUAACUAUAACGGUCCUAAGGUAGCGAAAUUCCUUGUCGGGUAAGUUCCGACCCGCACGAAAGGCGUAACGAUUUGGGCACUGUCUCAACAACAGACUCGGUGAAAUUGUAAUUCCGGUGAAGAUGCCGGAUACCUGCGACAGGACGGAAAGACCCCAUGGAGCUUUACUGUAGCUUGACAUUGGGUCUUGGUACUACAUGUACAGGAUAGGUGGGAGGCUUUGAAACCAGGACGCCAGUUUUGGCGGAGCCAUCCUUGGGAUACCACCCUUGUAGUACUGGGACUCUAACCAUAGGCCAUGAAUCUGGUCUUGGGACACUGUCAGGUGGGCAGUUUGACUGGGGCGGUCGCCUCCCAAAAGGUAACGGAGGCGCUCAAAGGUUCUCUCAGUACGGUCGGAAAUCGUACGUAGAGUGUAAAGGCAAAAGAGAGCUUGAUUGCAAGACAUACAGGUCGAGCAAGGAUGAAAAUCGGACUUAGUGAUCCGGUGGUUCUGCGUGGAAGGGCCAUCGCUCAACGGAUAAAAGCUACCCUGGGGAUAACAGGCUUAUCUCCCCCAAGAGUCCACAUCGACGGGGAGGUUUGGCACCUCGAUGUCGGCUCAUCACAUCCUGGGGCUGUAGUAGGUCCCAAGGGUUGGGCUGUUCGCCCAUUAAAGUGGUACGCGAGCUGGGUUCAGAACGUCGUGAGACAGUUCGGUCCCUAUCCGUCGCAGGCGUAGGAAAUUUGAGAAGACCUGUCCUUAGUACGAGAGGACCGGGAUGGACGUACCUCUGGUGUACCAGUUGUUCUGCCAAGGGCAUGGCUGGGUAGCUAUGUACGGAAUGGAUAAGCGCUGAAAGCAUCUAAGCGCGAAGCCAACUUCAAGAUAAGAUUUCCCACCGCAAGGGUAAGACCCCAGAAAGACUAUCUGGUUGAUAGGUCGAAGGUGUAAGUGCA